rnacentral:rRNA from 1 species
UACAGAGGUCCCAAGCGUUGUUCGGAUUCACUGGGCGUAAAGGGUGCGUAGGCGGUCGGGUAAGUCUGAUGUGAAAUCUCACAGCUUAACUGUGAAACUGCAUUGGAUACUAUCCGGCUAGAGGAAUGGAGGGGAGACUGGAAUACUUGGUGUAGCAGUGAAAUGCGUAGAUAUCAAGUGGAACACCAGUGGCGAAGGCGAGUCCCUGGACACUUCCUGACACUGAGGCACGAAAGCUAGGGGAGCAAACAGG